AGAGUUUGAUCCUGGCUCAGAACGAACGCUGGCGGCAGGCUUAACACAUGCAAGUCGAACGGGCCCUUCGGGGUCAGUGGCAGACGGGUGAGUAACACGUGGGAACGUACCCUUUUGUUCGGAAUAACCCAGGGAAACUUGGGCUAAUACCGGAUACGCCCUUCUGGGGAAAGAUUUAUCGCAGAAGGAUCGGCCCGCGUCUGAUUAGCUAGUUGGUGAGGUAAAGGCUCACCAAGGCGACGAUCAGUAGCUGGUCUGAGAGGAUGAUCAGCCACACUGGGACUGAGACACGGCCCAGACUCCUACGGGAGGCAGCAGUGGGGAAUAUUGGACAAUGGGCGCAAGCCUGAUCCAGCCAUGCCGCGUGAGUGAUGAAGGCCUUAGGGUUGUAAAGCUCUUUCGGCGGGGACGAUAAUGACGGUACCCGCAGAAGAAGCCCCGGCUAACUUCGUGCCAGCAGCCGCGGUAAUACGAAGGGGGCUAGCGUUGUUCGGAAUCACUGGGCGUAAAGGGCGCGUAGGCGGCUUUGUAAGUCGGGGGUGAAAGCCUGUGGCUCAACCACAGAAUUGCCUUCGAUACUGCAUGGCUUGAGACCGGAAGAGGUAAGUGGAACUGCGAGUGUAGAGGUGAAAUUCGUAGAUAUUCGCAAGAACACCAGUGGCGAAGGCGGCUUACUGGUCCNNNNCUGACGCUGAGGCGCGAAAGCGUGGGAGCAAACAGGAUUAGAUACCCNNGUAGUCC
rnacentral:rRNA from 1 species